GCCGUGGUGGCGGAAUAGGCAGACGCAGCAGACUUAAAAUCUGCCGGGCAGUGCGCCCGUACCGGUUCGAGUCCGGUCCUCGGCACCA
rnacentral:tRNA from 1 species